rnacentral:rRNA from 1 species
AGCAGCCGCGGUAAUUCCAGCUCCAAUAGCGUAUAUUAAAGUUGUUGCAGUUAAAAGCUCGUAGUUGAAUUUUAGGCCUGACCGGGCGGUCCGUCUCUGGCGAGUACUGUCUGUUGUCGGGUCUAUCCUUCUGGUGAGCCGGUAUGCCCUUUAUUGGGUGUGUCGGGGAACCAGGACCAUUACCUUGAAAAAUUAGAGUGUUUAAAGCGGGCUUUUGCUUGAAUAGAUUAGCAUGGAAUAAUAGAAUAGGACGUUGGUUCUAUUUUGUUGGUCUAGGACCACCGUAAUGAUUAAUAGGGAUAGUUGGGGGCAUUAGUAUUCAAUUGUCAGAGGUGAAAUUCUUGGAUUUAUUGAAGACUAACUACUGCGAAAGCAUUUGCCAAGGAUGUUUUCAUUAAUCAAGAACGAAAGUUAGGGGAUCGAAGACGAUCAGAUACCGUCGUAGUCUUAACCAUAAACUAUGCCGACUAGGAAUCGGGCGACGUUAUUCUCAUGACUCGCUCGGCGCCUUAUGGGAAAC